rnacentral:rRNA from 1 species
UGGGGAAUUGUUCACAAUGGGCGCAAGCCUGAUGACGCAACGCCGCGUGGGGGAUGAAGGUCUUCGGAUCGUAAACCCCUGUCGAAUGGGACGAAAGACUCGCGAGUGAAUACUUCGCGAGAGUGACGGUACCGUUAAAGGAAGCCACGGCUAACUCUGUGCCAGCAGCCGCGGUAAUACAGAGGUGGCAAGCGUUGUUCGGAAUUACUGGGCGUAAAGGGCGCGUAGGCGGCCCUCUAAGUCAGACGUGAAAUCCCCGGCUUAACCUGGGAACUGCGUCUGAUACUGGAGGGCUUGAGUAUGGGAGAGGGAUGUAGAAUUCCAGGUGUAGCGGUGAAAUGCGUAGAUAUCUGGAGGAAUACCGGUGGCGAAGGCGGCAUCCUGGACCAUUACUGACGCUGAGGCGCGAAAGCUAGGGGAGCAAACGGGAUUAGAUACCCAAGUAGUCCCUGAGCGGGCUGGCAAGGCGCAU